UAGUCCACACCGUAAACGAUGAAUGCCAGUCGUCGGGUAGUAUACUAUUCGGUGACACACCUAACGGAUUAAGCAUUCCGCCUGGGGAGUACGGUCGCAAGAUUAAAACUCAAAGGAAUUGACGGGGCCCGCACAAGCGGUGGAGCAUGUGGUUUAAUUCGAAGCAACGCGCAGAACCUUACCAACCCUUGACAUUUGUCGCUAACCCCCAGAGAUGGGGCGUUCCUUUCGGGGACGACAGGACAGGUGCUGCAUGGCUGUCGUCAGCUCGUGUCAUGAGAUGUUCGGUUAAGUCCCGCAACGAGCGCAACCCUUGUCUUUAGUUGCCAGCAUUUAGUUGGGCACUCUAGAGAGACUGCCGACGUUAAGUCGGAGGAAGGUGGGGAUGACGUCAAGUCCUCAUGGCCCUUAUAUCUAGGGGCUACACACGUGCUACAAUGGGGAAGAACAAAGGGGUCGCUAAAUCGCAAGAUCAUGCUAAUCCC
rnacentral:rRNA from 1 species